rnacentral:rRNA from 1 species
CGGACGGGUGAGUAAUGUCUGGGAAACUGCCCGAUGGAGGGGGAUAACUACUGGAAACGGUAGCUAAUACCGCAUAACGUCGCAAGACCAAGAGGGGACCUUCGGGCCUCUUGCCAUCGGAUGUGCCCAGAUGGGAUUAGCUAGUAGGUGGGGUAACGGCUCACCUAGGCGACGAUCCCUAGCUGGUCUGAGAGGAUGACCAGCCACACUGGAACUGAGACACGGUCCAG